UACAGAGGUCUCAAGCGUUGUUCGGAUUCAUUGGGCGUAAAGGGUGCGUAGGCGGCGCGGUAAGUCGGGUGUGAAAUCUUGGAGCUUAACUCCGAAACUGCAUUCGAUACUGCUGUGCUUGAGGACUGGAGAGGAGACUGGAAUUUACGGUGUAGCGGUGAAAUGCGUAGAUAUCGUAAGGAAGACCAGUGGCGAAGGCGGGUCUCGGGACAGUUCCUGACACUGAGGCACGAAGGCCAGGGGAGCAAACGGG
rnacentral:rRNA from 1 species